rnacentral:rRNA from 1 species
AUUGAACGCUGGCGGCAGGCCUAACACAUGCAAGUCGAGCGGAGCGGCGGACGGGUGAGUAAUGCCUAGGAAUCUGCCUGGUAGUGGGGUUUACCGUCGGGAAACGGGCCUUAUUACCGCAUCCUAUCACUUCAGCCUGGUUCGGAUUAGCUAGUUGGUGGGGUAAAGGCCUACCAAGGCGACGUUCCGUAACUGGUCUGAGAGGAGGGUCAGUCACACUGGAACUGAGACACGGUCCAGACUCCUACGGGAGGCAGCAGUGGGGAAUAUUGGACAAUGGGCGAAAGCCUGAUCCAGCCAUGCCGCGUGUGUGAAGAAGGUCUUCGGAUUGUAAAGCACUUUAAGUUGGGAGGCGUUACCAACAGAAUAAGCACCGGCUAACUUCGUGCCAGCAGCCGCGGUAAUAC